UGCCCCAUCCAGGACGGAACACAAACCAUUCACCAUGGAGCUGGAGCUCAGCUGGGUCUUCCUUAUUGCUAUUUUAAAAGGUGUGCAGUGUGAGGUGCGGCUGGUAGAGUCUGGGAGAGGCUUGGUGCAGCCUGGGGGGUCCCUGAGACUCUCCUGUGCAGCCUCCGGAUUCACCUUCAGUGAUUACUACAUGGACUGGAUCCGCCAGGCUCCAGGGAAGGGGCUGGAGUGGGUUGCACGAAUUGAUCCAGGUGGUGGUAGCACACGGUACGCAGACUCUGUGAAGGGCCGGUUCACCCUCUGCAGAGACAACAGUCAAAGCACGCUGUACCUGCAAAUGAGCAGCCUGAGAACCGAGGACACGGCCCUGUAUCACUGUGCAAGCUGGUCCUACUUUGCUUACUGGGGCUCCGGAACCCUGGUCACCGUCUCCUCAGCAAGCCCAUCCCCCCCACGAGUCUUCCCCCUCGUAUCCUGCGAGAGCCCCCUGUCCGAUGAGAGCCUGGUGGCCGUGGGCUGCCUGGCACGGGACUUCCUGCCCAGCUCCAUCUCCUUCUCCUGGAAUUACAAGAACAACACCGCCGUGACACAGGGCGUCACCACAUUCCCAACACUGCAGGCGGGGGCCAAGUACGUGGCCACCUCGCAGGUGCUGCUGCCCUCCAGGGAUGUCCUGGAAGGCACAGACGACUACCUGGUGUGCAAAGUCAAGCAUGGUCAGCAAAACGAAGACCUGCGGGUGCCUCUUCCAGAGGUUGGAAACCAGCCCCCCAAUGUGACCGUGUUCAUCCCACCGCGAGACGCCUUCUCUGGCCCCGGCCCACGCAAGUCCAGUCUUAUCUGCCAGGCCACAGGCUUCAGCCCCAAGCAGAUCACAGUGUCCUGGCUACGAGAUGGACGGCCUGUGACGUCCGGCUUCACCACUGAAGAGGUGAGGGCAGAGGCCAGCGCCGAGUCCAAGCCCCGCACCUUCAGCAUCACCAGCCAGCUGACCAUCACCGAGCUCGAGUGGCUCAGGCAAAGCGUGUUCACCUGCCGUGUGGAUCACCAAGGACUCACGUUUGUGAAGAAUGUGUCAUCCAUGUGCAAUGCUGGUGAGUGACUUUCCCUGAGUCCAGUGCC